GAAGUAAAAGGUCGUAACAAGGUUUCCGUAGGUGAACCUGCGGAAGGAUCAUUAUUGUAUAACCGAGGUGCGAGGGCUGUCGCUGACCCGAAAGGUCGUGCACGCCCGAGUGCCCUCACACACAUCCAUCUCACCCCUAUGUGCACCACCGCGUGGGUCCCCCUUUGGCUUGUUCGGGGGGGGGCUUACGUUUUCACACAAACUUUGUAUGCAGUGUAGAAUGUAUUUUUUGUAUUUGCGAUCACGCAAUCAAUACAACUUUCAACAACGGAUCUCUUGGCUCUC
rnacentral:misc_RNA from 1 species